rnacentral:rRNA from 1 species
AUUGAACGCUGGCGGCAGGCCUAACACAUGCAAGUCGAGCGGUAGAGAGGUGCUUGCAUCUCUUGAGAGCGGCGGACGGGGUGAGUAAUGCCUAGGAAUCUGCCUAGUGGUGGGGGAUAACGUUCGGAAACGGACGCUAAUACCGCAUACGUCCUACGGGAGAAAGCGGGGGGAUCUUCGGACCUCGCGCCAUUAGAUGAGCCUAGGUCGGAUUAGCUAGUUGGUGAGGUAAUGGCUCACCAAGGCGACGAUCCGUAACUGGUCUGAGAGGAUGAUCAGUCANACUGGAACUGAGACACGGUCCAGACUCCU